AGAGAAGUAUAUGUGUCCUGCUAAUAAAAAACUCCAGGCACCAUUUUUAAUCCUAACAUCACUAUCUUACAACGUCGUGGCACUGAAAACCCAAAAGCCUCUCUAUUUUCACAGAUAACUACAAACAGCUUUGAGCAAUUAACAUUAAUUAACAUUACUAAUUGAAAGUCUAGACAAGACAGACCUCUCACUCUGGAAUGUUUUUGCUAAACAGCUAAUACCUGCCGACUUCAGGCUUGGUGAUGGCCCAAUAACACUUGACAAGUUCUCCUGAAUGAAGCACUUAGAGCUUGUUGAAGCUUUGUGUUAACUUUGCACCUGCACAGGGCCCCCAGACUCCAGGAGGCCAUGUGGAUCAAGUGCUUCUAUAACUGUGGUUAGUCAUCUGUAUCAGAAUCACAGCAGACUCCCUCAUAACAAAGUCUCCUUUUUGUUGUUAAUUAAGACAGUACCAAAAAAAAAAUAAUAAAAUAAAGUUACUUAUUCAGUCAUGAGGACUGAAUGCUCCCAGUAGGUAGUCUUUUCACAAUUCAAUUUCCCUGAUGGGACUCGAAGAGGAAAUGAAACAACAAAUUGUACUCCUGAUGAUCUAAGCAGAAGCUGCAAUUCCACAGGGAGUCCUGCUAGGUCAAUUAGUUCAUCAUGCUAACAGAAUAGCAAUCCAGAAACCAGUGUCCCACCAACAAAGGUUUGAAAAAGUGAAGUUCAAUGCCCGGUUGUAAGACAGCCUCCAGUAGAUAUUAUUGUUAGGUUCAGUAAAUGCACAUUUACUGAGUAUAAAAAUAGGGCAGCAACACUAAAAGCUAGGGGGAUAUUCCUGUCCUGAUAGAUUCACUGUGAAUGCAGUAGAAGCAGUCCACCUUUGUAAGAUCUCUAAUGAACACUGCCUGUAUAAAAGAAGUUCAUCUCAUCACGUUUCCUUCUUAAACUAGAUAUGUAAAAGGCACCAUGCUUUGCUGUCAGCUGUAAGAAACUGUGUCAGGAGGGACUGAAAAUACGAGCCAGUAUACGGAUCAAGAGAGAGAGGAGGAGAGAUUCCAGGAACCAUAGAAAGCCUGCUGUCAUUAUUGGAGGAACAUGCAAGUGUCCUUUACAACUGAUGAUACUUCCAUAUGACAGCUGUCAGGGGCACUAAUUAUUGCCUUACAGUCUUCACAUUUGUGUCCCUAUUAACAAUUAUUAGCUCACCAAACUUUGGAUGAUUGCUUUAUUUAUAUCUACAAUGGAUUCCACACUCAAAAACUUGGUCUGAGAACCCCUUAAACAAUGGUUUGAAAACAUCUCUCUCAAAUUUCAGACCAUCAUUCAAUUGCAUUUGGCAUCAUUUUAAAAGACAGUUAAACCAUGCAAGUGGAUAGAUGCUCUAAAUAAUGAGAUAGUUGUGUGAUGUUGGCUACUUAAUUAGAAAAAGCUUUAGGUCCUAGAUUCUCUUCGUAAUUUCACCUGAUUGUGGAUUUCAAGUUCACUCUAACUUGCAGAGAAAUAGCAAUUAAAGAAUGCAAACAUGAUGAACACUAUCAAUGGACACAUAUGGAAAAUGGGUUUUGCCAAACAGCCUGUUUGAUGGACAUAUAGAUCAGUUGACAAAGCUAACAGCAUCAAUAAAACUGAGUUCUGUAAACUGUGUAACA